CACCCUGGCGGCGAGCGGCGAACGGGUGAGUAAUGCAUCGGAACGUAUCCUGGAGUGGGGGAUAACCCAGCGAAAGUUGGGCUAAUACCGCAUAAGCUCUGAGGAGGAAAGCGGGGGACCUGCAAGGGCCUCGCGCUGCAGGAGCGGCCGAUGUCCGAUUAGCUAGUUGGUGGGGUAAAGGCCUACCAAGGCGACGAUCGGUAGCUGGUCUGAGAGGAUGAUCAGCCACACUGGGACUGAGACACGGCCCAGACUCCUACGGGAGGCAGCAGUGGGGAAUUUUGGACAAUGGGGGCAACCCUGAUCCAGCCAUGCCGCGUGAGUGAAGAAGGCCUUCGGGUUGUAAAGCUCUUUCGGACGGAACGAAAUGGUUACGGUCAACACCCGUGACUGAUGACGGUACCGUAAGAAGAAGCACCGGCUAACUACGUGCCAGCAGCCGCGGUAAUACGUAGGGUGCGAGCGUUAAUCGGAAUUACUGGGCGUAAAGCGUGCGCAGGCGGUUUCGUAAGCUGGAGGUGAAAUCCCCGGGCUCAACCUGGGAAUGGCCUUCAGGACUGCGAGGCUAGAGUGCGGCAGAGGGAGGUGGAAUUCCACGUGUAGCAGUGAAAUGCGUAGAUAUGUGGAGGAACACCGAUGGCGAAGGCAGCCUCCUGGGCCAGCACUGACGCUCAUGCACGAAAGCGUGGGGAGCAAACAGGAUUAGAUACCCUGGUAGUCCACGCCCUAAACGAUGUCAACUAGGUGUUGGGGAAGGUGACUUCCUUAGUACCGCAGCUAACGCGUGAAGUUGACCGCCUGGGGAGUACGGCCGCAAGGUUAAAACUCAAAAGGAAUUGACGGGGACCCGCACAAGCGGUGGAUGAUGUGGAUUAAUUCGAUGCAACGCGAAAAACCUUACCUACCCUUGACAUGCCAG
rnacentral:rRNA from 1 species